rnacentral:rRNA from 1 species
CAGUCGCCACGGGAAUACAGAGGGUGCAAGCGUUAAUCGGAAUUACUUGGCGUAAAGCGCGCGUAGGUGGUUUGUUAAGUUGGAUGUGAAAUCCCCGGGCUCAACCUGGGAACUGCAUCCAAAACUGGCAAGCUAGAGUAUGGUAGAGGGUGGUGGAAUUUCCUGUGUAGCGGUGAAAUGCGUAGAUAUAGGAAGGAACACCAGUGGCGAAGGCGACCACCUGGACUGAUACUGACACUGAGGUGCGAAAGCGUGGGGAGCAAACAGGAUUAGAUACCCCUGUAGUCCCUGUCUCUUAUAC